GGUAGCGUGGCCGAGCGGUGUAAGGCGAAGUUUUAAGGAGUCUUACAGAAAACGUGGUUUCGUAUCCCACCGCUGCCC